rnacentral:rRNA from 1 species
AAGCCUAAUUAACAUCGUGGUACCUACAUCGCCAGCAGACAUCAUGGGCAAGGCUGUAUCGCACCGCCCAUCCUCCUCCGCCGCCGCCGAGAAGACUCCACCCUCCCCCUCGUUUCCGCUCAUUUGCCUUCUUCCCCGGGAAGCUUUCUUUCAACCAAGAUUUCAGCCGUGGCGUGAUCGUCCAGUCCAGAGACGCCGCCGCCGGAAAUCCGCCACCAGAGGAGCAAUCAGCAUGGCAGACAGCAGCGGCACAACCGUCUUUGACAACCUGCCGGAGUGGCUCGUCGUCGAUGAGAUCCUUGUCCGGUUGCCGCCCAAAGACAUACUCCGCUGCCGCGCCGUCCGCAAGUCGUGGCUCAGCGGUACUUCCACCAACACAUUCAUCCUUGACCAUCACCGCCGUCAGCCCUCGCUCCCCAUCAUCAAACACCAUAAGGGCAUCUGCCGCCUCACCGGAGCCUCCAAUGAACGAAAGAUACGGCCCGUCCUCCAGUAUGCACGCCAUUUUUCAAGCAACAACGUUACACUCCACGCCGCCUGUGAUGGCUUCCUCAUCAUGUCGCAGCAGCGAUCCGAUUUCCGCAUCUGCAACCCGGCCACCCGCAAGUGUGCUUCCCUGCCACAUCCUCCGUCACGACCAGGCUCCAGGUUUGUCGACGUAGUCGGCUUCUACCAGCACACCACAUCUGGAGAACACCGGGUGCUCUGGGUGUCAGUCCCAAUACCCGUCAUUAGAGCAAUUAGAGCGACUGGUCCUCAGGGGGCAGACAUGGCAAUUGAGUUGCCUGAUUACUUCGUCCUCACCGUGGGAUCGGACCAGCCAAGAUGCAUCCAGUGGCCGACUAUUUCAAAACAAGAGUUUCCUGAUAUCCGGUCCUCCAGAAAUCCACCAGUCCACCAUCGUGGUAGCCUGCACUGGGAAAUGGGUAUCAAUAUAACUGUAUUUGACACCAUAGCUGAGACGUUCCGACGGAUGAGCUGCCCGGCACGGUUGGAGAACACCCAUAUGUGGUCGCCUGACUCAUUGUCGGAUAUGGGCGGGGCCCUUGCUUUGUGCCGCUCCGCCCCUGACUGCCUCACUUUUGAUAUUUGGGUGUUGCAGGACUAUGAUGCCGAGACCUGGGGCUUUCAAUAUCAGAUUAACUUGUUAGCAAUGGAGGUAUCGCCACCGAUUGAUUUGGGCAUCAUGCUCAUCCCUAUGACCACCCUGAUCAAUGAGCAUGAGCUGUUGAUCCAGCAGUGUCCUAGCCGUUUGUUGCAUUGUGAAAUUGACGGUGUGUCUUUAAGAGAUGUGGAAAGCGGAGAGCAUGAAUACCACCUGCUGCCACUUACUACCCAUCGCCUCCAAGAGAGCAUGAUUUCACUUCCAUUGUUUGAGGCGCAGGAAGAAGAUGCUGUGAACAAGGAGGCUCCAUUCGUCAUAGUGCUAUAAAGAUACCUUGCUCCAUCUCAAUGCUUUGGACUUGUUGUCUGCUGUGCCCUUGGGGUAUCUAUCCCUUACGAGCCAUGUGUUUUUUUUCUUACCUUUUAGUACUACUAAUAGAACUGAACACUUUGUACGUCUGAAGUAGCACUUCUACUAUCAUCAAUUCGUGAUUGUUAUGCUGUCCUGAGCACCAUGUUGAUGUUCUAACUUCUAAACAAUUGAGUAUCUAUGCUAUGGAAGUGUUCUGCUGUUCCCCCCUGUUU